AAGGGGCUCAAACUUUAUGACCCAGGUUAUCUCAACACGGCUCCUGUUCAGUCUUCAAUUUCUUACAUCGAUGGUGACGAGGGUAUCCUCAGAUAUAGAGGCUACCCAAUAGAGGAGUUGGCUGAGAGUAGCACCUUUUUGGAAGUGUCCUACCUCAUAUUGUAUGGGAACUUGCCAUCUGAAAGUCAGUUAGCAGACUGGGAAUUUGCUAUUUCUCAGCAUUCCGCUGUACCACAGGGCAUUUUGGAUAUUAUACAGGCAAUGCCUCAUGAUGCACACCCAAUGGGUGUACUUGUCAGUGCAAUGAGUGCUCUUUCGAUCUUUCAUCCUGACGCUAAUCCUGCUCUUAGAGGGCAAGAUCUUUACAAGUCCAAACAAGUCAGAGACAAACAAAUUGCUCGCAUUCUUGGAAAGGCACCUACUAUUGCAGCAGCAGCAUAUUUGAGGUUGGCAGGCAGGCCUCCAGUUUUGCCUUCCAGCAACCUUUCUUACGCAGAGAACUUCUUGUACAUGCUAGAUUCACUAGGUAAUCGAUCAUAUAAACCUAAUCCUCGACUUGCUCGAGUGCUAGACAUACUUUUCAUACUUCAUGCAGAGCAUGAAAUGAAUUGCUCCACUGCUGCUGCCCGGCAUCUUGCAUCAAGUGGUGUUGAUGUAUACACUGCUCUUGCUGGGGCUGUUGGAGCAUUGUAUGGACCUCUUCAUGGUGGAGCAAAUGAGGCUGUGCUUAAGAUGCUGAAUGAGAUCGGAACUGUUGAGAACAUCCCAGAUUUCAUUGAGGGUGUGAAAAACAGAAAGCGAAAGAUGUCGGGUUUUGGACAUCGGGUAUACAAAAACUAUGAUCCCAGAGCUAAAGUCAUUAAGAAGCUAGCAGAGGAAGUAUUUUCUAUUGUCGGUCGAGAUCCUCUUAUCGAGGUAGCAGUUGCUUUGGAGAAGGCUGCACUAUCUGAUGAGUAUUUCGUUACGAGGAAGCUAUAUCCAAAUGUUGAUUUCUACUCUGGAUUAAUAUAUAGAGCGAUGGGAUUUCCAACGGAGUUCUUCCCUGUUUUAUUUGCAAUUCCUCGAAUGGCUGGUUACUUGGCACACUGGCGGGAGUCACUGGAUGAUCCUGAUACAAAGAUAAUGAGACCACUACAGGUGGAAACUGGGGCAUGGCUAUAUGCCACUCAGAGAACGGAUGGAAACAAGCGAAGCAAAUAGGCUUGGUCAGGUGUCUGUUUCAAAUGCCUCCAGGCGACGACUUGCUGGAUCUGGGAUUUAGGCUCUCAUUCAAUUCAUUUAAUAUUUUAAUCUGUGAAAGCGAGGUGGAAAAUAAUAAUAAUAAUAAAUGACGUGAAUAUUACAAGGAUGAAUAAAUGUAACGUUCCUAGAAUUUUUCGUCUAAAAAUAUUUAGGCCUUUAUAGGAGCAUAAUGGUCAAAU
rnacentral:misc_RNA from 1 species